rnacentral:rRNA from 1 species
UACGGAAGGUGCAAGCGUUGUUCGGAAUGACUGGGCGUAAAGCGCACGUAGGUUGGUUUGUAUGUCGGAUGUGAAAUCCCCGGGCUUAACCCGGGAAGGCCAUUCGAAACUGCAAAUCUUGAAUGCUUCAGGGGUUGGUGGAAUUCUUGGUGUAGGAGUGAAAUCCGUAGAUAUCAAGAGGAACAUCGGAGGCGAAGGCGGCCAACUGGGGAUGCAUUGACACUGAGGUGCGAAAGCGUGGGGAGCAAACAGG